AUAUGGCAUUGCUCAUAUGCAAGGAUUGAAGAAGGCUUCUUUUGUACGCUUUCUCUCUCAUCUCUCAUCAUUCAUUGUUCCUCAAUCAAAGACACUCACAAUCGGUUAUACGGAUGUAUCGCAAACCCUAAAUUCACAGCUUCCCAUUCACGUUAUACUCUGCUCCAUUCAAAGGUCAGGUGAUCUGGAUUUUUGUUUUGUUCUUCUUCAUUCAAACCCAUAAUCUCCUUCAAAGCUGCGUCUUCAAUAUUCCUUGCUCUCUGCGUUGGAUCUCCGUCUAAUUUUGUAUGAUUGAAACAUUGGAGCAUAUGAUGACAAAAUAUGAUCGGGUUCAAGGUUUCAUCAAGCAACUAUAGUUUCUUUAAAAAUGCGGACAAAUUCAUAAUUUCGGAGAUUAUUUUUGCGGAAAUUAGGGGUUUCAUAACACUUUCUGCUGUUAAAUCUCUUCAAUUUGUGUCCAUGUGGAUUCGAGGCCAUCGUUUCUCCCAUUUGAAGUCUUAUAUGUUUUCCAAGGCGCACAAAGGUCUGGGUCAUUAUUUUCAGUAAUGACAGUUUACAACCCUACAAUCUGGAGCAAAGAUCCAAUCCUCAUUCACUUAACAGAGCAGUUGAGCUUACAGGUUCUUCACAAUCUAUAGCUAAAGUCGAGUAACUAACUAAGGAUGCGUAUGGAGGCUCUAGCAUUGUCUCGAGGAGGCUGGAGGUUACCUGGUCAGCAAGACGGGCUAAACAAUUUGCGAUUUAAGUGCCAAACAACAAGGUUCUUUGUAUCUUAUGUGUGUUUUAUAACUGUUCCACUUUUUGUUUUUAUUUUUUAUUUUUUUUUAUCUUAAUUAGGUUCUUAUUAGUUGAAACUAAAGGAUAAUGGCCUUGGUACUGAUUUUUCUACAUAUUUCGGAGCUAGAAUGUGCAAUUAGAGCUAACAAAAAAAAAAAAAAGAAAUUUAAUCAUCGUAUUCAUUAUUUGAAUGGAGCCAAUAUGAGGAUAUUAUUGAUUGUUUACACAUAUCUCAACACCUAGCUUUUGGUCAUCCUUUCCUCAAAGACUAUAAAGUGCAGAUUUCUUUAGUGUUGUGGAUAUUUGUGUUUUUUAACAUCACCAUGGAUUUUUUUCAUCAUAUUAAUCUUACGCUAAAAGUUGUGUGUUUGUGUGCUGCAUGGUUCUAGAGUUUUAUUAAAUAGCUCAAACGGGGUCCAACAGGUCAGUUUUAUUCAUAGCUACACAUUGAUAUUCUUGAUUUUUCCACCAUUUACAUAAGUAUGUCACCAACACUAUUGCUUUAUUUCAUCAUAUUAAUUUUUAGGGAUGAGCAUUUGGUACCGCGUACUGGUGCCGAAUUUCCCGUACCGAAGUGGUACCCAUUUUUGGUGUUUUCGGUACCAGUACCGGUUCGGUAUGAUACCGGUAGUUUACCGAAUUUUGCCUUCAAAUACCGGUACCGCACCAUACCGAACAUUUUCAGUGCAAAUUUCGGUACCGGUAAAACUGUUAAUAAGUUUUGGUGAAGAAAAUUUGCAACAACUUCUGUACAUGAUGGAUGAUUUUUGCAGGACUAAAAGUUCGCAUUAUUUUAAUCUUUAACAAUUAAUGAAAAUUAUAAAUUUACAUAGUUCGAACGGGUGGAUAAAAGCGUUAUAAGUUUUUGUGAGCUGCAUAGUUCUAAAGUUCUAUUAAAUGGGUCAAACGGUCAGCCUUAUAGAACGGGUGAAACGGUCAACUUUAUAGAAUGAUUCAAACGAUUCGUUUUACUAAAUGGCUCAAGCAGUUCAGUUUUAUUAAACAAACAGAACAAUCAUUUUUCUCUUAAACGGGUCGAAUGGGUUAAUUCUUAUUUACGGGUCAACUAGGUAAGUUUUAAUGAGCUGGCAAGUUUGGUUCAUUUUUCUUUAAGAAUGUAAUUUGCUCUCGCUAGGAGUACUACUAAUUAAUUGGUUAAUUCACAUACUUUGUUGGAAUCAAAUAAAAUAGGAUUAAAAAUUUUCCAAAAAAGAAAUUUUUAUUCUUUUAAAAUGACCCAAAAUGGGAAGUUUUGCAUUUUUUUGGGUGAUAAAGGGAGUAUAUUAUUUCUAACAAACACAAGCGAGUGAUAUAUUUUUUAUGUAUUGCAGUAUUCAUAAUUUACUGUGUGUUGCAGGCCUUUUUGAUGAGGCUGGGAAACUUCUGGGUUCUGCUAGCAGCCCGAUACAAAUUUGGAAAGAGGGUGACUGUGUUGAGCUUUUGUGGAUGAAAGAGAAUUUGCAAGAAUCUUGGUCAAUGGCUUGGAGGUGGAUGGACAUUAGCAGUGGGUGAAAUUGUAUGUAACAGGAGGUGAAAUUGUCAAUUGCAGUGGGUGUGGACAAACAUAGAUGUGAGUAACUUAGUGAUCCUAAGUUGGCACAAAUUGCUCUUAGGAAUGACUUGAAUAAGCUAUAAGAUCUCUUAAUAGUAUGUCAACGAUCCAAGUAUAGCAAGCAACAGGAUGAAGAGACGGUAAUGAUUUACUCAGCAUUAAUCAUGUUUAUUAAACCCAUAAGUUUCUCAAUUUGCUAUCUAUCUUGUCGAAUUUUGUAUCUAAUAUAUAAAGUUUUUUCGCUUUUGUAUCUAAUAUAUAUUCAGUUCUUUCUCAUCA